UACGGAGGGUGCAAGCGUUAGCCGGAUUCACUGGGUUUAAAGGGUGCGUAGGUGGGUCUGUAAGUCCGUGGUGAAAUCUCCGAGCUUAACUUGGAAACUGCCAUGGAUACUAUAGGUCUUGAAUACUGUGGAGGUCAGCGGAAUAUGUCAUGUAGCGGUGAAAUGCUUAGAUAUGACAUAGAACACCAAUUGCGAAGGCAGCUGGCUACACAAAUAUUGACACUGAGGCACGAAAGCGUGGGGAUCAAACAGG
rnacentral:rRNA from 1 species